rnacentral:lncRNA from 1 species
UGGAGAGUGGGAGAUUGUUGGCUUCGAGGAUCGAACGGAGCCUAUCUACGGCGAAGAGGGUUCGGAUGCUGGCGUACGUUGUGGCGUUCUUGGUUGAGUAGCCGACGAGAGAGCGACACGUGGUGUUUGAGUCGCCGGGAGAGCCGCAUUUGAAGUUUCCGGUCAUUUCGGCGGAGAGGGAGAGGAGGAAGGAGGUGGCGAUGAGAAGAAGGGGAAGGGCAAAACGGGAAGUUUCCAUUUUUGUUUGUUAGUUGCCGGAGAGUUGUCAGUGUGUGUCGUCUCAUCUGGAUUUGUGGUUUAAAAGGACGAAGCGGAGAGUUUGGCCGGAGGAGACUUUUGGAGUUUGACUGUUGACUUUUGGGAGAAGACAAAUGAGAACACAAGAGUUUCAACGGACUCUUCCGUUUAGUAGUUUACAUUAACACGGCGUGACUUGUCGAUAGUUUCAUAAUAAUAUGGUGAUUAUUGUAAUGAUAUUUUUUUGUUUCGGCUAAUAAUGUCAUGAUAAGACUAUUAAUAUACUAAAAGUCUACUAAACAAUUCAACGAAAGAUUCGAAUAUAAGAGUUUAGAAAAAUGAUUAGUGAUUAAGGUAAUCAUGGUUUAUACUCAAUUGGAAUAAAUUAUGAUAACUAAUACAGUAAUUGGCCAUGAGGAGGAAGGUGGACUCCAAAACAGCUAGAUUAAAGACGGAAUAUUACGAAUUCAUUUAGGGCCAUUUCCAUAAAACUAAAAGGUGGAGUUAUUACACGGUGAAGGUGACUGAAGACUCUCCAAUUUGAUUGACGAAUGGUCAAGUUAAUACAGAAAACACCUAAAGAGAAACAAUAUGUAAACGUAAACGUUACUCUUUGAGCAAAAAAUCCGAACUGUUCUUGUACUGAAACUGGUCUUGUACCUCUGAGAGGGACGUCGAGAGGGAUAUCAGCGAGGAGAUCAGCAUCGCCGGAGAUCCCAUUGAGCGUAGCCAGCGUCCUGUUGUCAGUUCCAAACUGAGCUGCGAUCGCGCCGAGGGAGUUUCCGGACUUAACCACGUGUGCAUAGUGGACAACAUCUCGACCGUCCACUCUAUCGCAGCUACAAGGCAAAGGGAUCCACACCCUUUGACCGAUAGCGAUUUCGUUCGCGUUGGGGAUCUUGUUCAUCUCGCUGAUCCUCUGGAAACGAACCAACCCUCCGAACAGCUCGGAAGCGAUGGCGGAGAGCGUGUCCCCUUGCUUGACGGUGUAAACCGGAACAUCUGUCGAGACGCCGGUUCCGUUUGAGCAAGUGCAAGGGAUCGGGACGCGCACGACCUGGUUCGGGUUCACGCGCUGAGCGCCUGUGGUGGAGAGUGGGAGAUUGUUGGCUUCGAGGAUCGAACGGAGCCUAUCUACGGCGAAGAGGGUUCGGAUGCUGGCGUACGUUGUGGCGUUCUUGGUUGAGUAGCCGACGAGAGAGCGACACGUGGUGUUUGAGUCGCCGGGAGAGCCGCAUUUGAAGUUUCCGGUCAUUUCGGCGGAGAGGGAGAGGAGGAAGGAGGUGGCGAUGAGAAGAAGGGGAAGGGCAAAACGGGAAGUUUCCAUUUUUGUUUGUUAGUUGCCGGAGAGUUGUCAGUGUGUGUCGUCUCAUCUGGAUUUGUGGUUUAAAAGGACGAAGCGGAGAGUUUGGCCGGAGGAGACUUUUGGA